rnacentral:piRNA from 1 species
UGCUAAGUGUGAAGCGGCUCCCUUAG